rnacentral:sRNA from 1 species
ACGACUCUCCACGUAAAAACCCUUUCAUAUUCCGUGAUACUGGUUAUUCAAGACAUGCCCAUUGGCAUGAGUACCAGCUACUGCUUAAUGGAUGCAGUAGCUCUUGAGGAACUCUAAUGAUUUCCCUGGAACUUCAUUCUGUAUGUUCCACUGAGGCUGAAUGAGAAAAAUAAUGCAUUAUCAAGCAACACAUUCCUUACCUCGCCAUGAAGCUUCCCAAGUUAGCGGAUCCUUUCUGUUCUCCAUUUUGUUUCAUUUUAAUAAGUCGGAUAUCUGUCUCCAAUGAUAUUACUUGCUUUGAUCAUUUCGUCGAUCUCCUUCAUGUCUUCAGCAGAAAAUGGAGGUAGGGUUUGCAAAUUCUCUGACACCCGCUCUUUCGAUUUGGCUGAUGGUAUCGGGAUAAUUGUGGGCAUGUUUUUGUCAUUGUUAAGGGUCCUGACCCAAUUCAAUGCGGCCUGAGCGGGGGUUAUCUUCUUUCUUUCAGCAAAUGAUAUAACGUCAUCAACAAAUUUCUGGUUGGCGGCUAGAGCGGCCUCUUGAAAUCUCGGUAGGUAAUUACGGAUGUCGCCCUGGGGAAUGUCGGAGGGCUUGGCGAUCCUGCCCGUCAGUGCCCCCCUGCCCAGCGGAGAGUAGGCCACAAUGGGUAUUCCAAGCUCUGCACAGGUCGUCGCCACUCCGUUCUCAAGGAUAUCGGGACUCCACAGCGAUAGUUCAACCUCGACCGCUGCAAUUGGAUGGACCUUGUGCCUGUGAUACUUGAAGUUAGAUGCAUUUCCCCGGCCUGCUGGAUGUCGAUACUUACGCCCGUCGUAUGGUUUCUGCGUCCACCUCGCUCAGGCCGAUACCUUUGAGCUUUCCUUCUUUCACCAUCUUUGAGAGGUGGCCGAUGGUUUCUUCUACUGGGUACUUUGGGUCCAAUCGAGAGAUAUGAAACAGGUCAAGCUCUUUUACACCAUUUAGGACCCUCAAACACUCAUCCACACUUGUUCGGAGAUUUUCCUCAGACCCGUCUGGAGCGAGUUCUCCUCGUGCCAUACCUCCUUGGAUGCUAAGGACAACUUUGUCAGCUGCCUCUGGGUGUUGGGUGAAAAAUUUAUGGAUGAUGUGAAGAGAGUUGUGUUCCGGGGUGCCGUAUAUUUCGCCGCCGUUCCAGAGGUUGGCCCCAAGGGAUAAUGCUGCAUUCAUUGCCUCAGUGUAUUGGGGCUCCGGAGUUGGUUGUGCACACCAUGUGAAUCCUAUUUCCGUCGCCAAUGGUUGAGCGAAUGCCUCAUAGCUCUAAGAGUGGGACUGGCGACUCACCCAUGAGGCCAUAGCCAGUUGGGCCAACCUCUUUUCCGACAAUGGUAGGCAUUUUAUAGAGCGUUGUGGAAAGGAAAUUGAAAAAUUGAAAAAAUUGAAUUGGUUUGUUGGGAUGUUAUCAAGAUAGCUUUUGAGAUCAAAUUUGACUUUCCGAAUGAUGAAUUAUAUACUUGGAUCAGCUUCAGCUUUCUUGACUUUUUGGAAUGGCGUGCACGUGGAUUUGCUCAUCUUGCCAGUUCAUCGUAGAGGCGAAGGAACAAGCACUGGGGG